rnacentral:rRNA from 1 species
UACGUAGGUGGCAAGCCGUUGUCCGGAUUUACUGGGCGUAAAGAGCGCGCAGGCGGUCGUUCAAGUCGCGUGUGAAAGCCCCCGGCUCAACUGGGGAGGGUCACGCGAUACUGAUCGACUCGAAGGCAGGAGAGGGAAGUGGAAUUCCCGGUGUAGUGGUGAAAUGCGUAGAUAUCGGGAGGAACACCAGUGGCGAAGGCGACUUCCUGGCCUGUUCU